UAAUAAAUAUACAUCGGGAUAUAGAUUUAGAUACAGAGUCAAUAUUAGAUGUUUUUGCCAAUAGAAAAGAAAGACGUUUGAAUUUUAAACUCUAUCCAACUUGUGUACGCUAUGGCUUGUAAUACUAUUUGAAUGAAAAAUGAAUUGUUAUGUAAACAAAUUAAUAUAAUAUUAUUAAUCCAAGGUUUAUAAUCAUGUUAAAUGUACCAUAAGUUGCUAAAAAUGCUAACAUAGUUGUACAGUGAUAGAAAAAAAUUAUUACGAGUAGUUAUGUUGAGUACCUUUUGUAAUUCACAAUUCUACGUUUAGAGAAUAUUACAAAAAAUGAAAGUAACAAGAAAAUGAUUUUCAUAUUG